GCGCAAAUGUAAGUAAAAUGUACCCUCUGUAGAGCCCUGCCAUGUGGAGGUUAUUCAUGUGGACCCAAGCAGAGAGGGUUGGACCUGACAGUGUAUCAUCAAGAGAAGAGGGUUGGACCUGACAGUGUAUCAUCAAGAGAAGAGGGUUGGACCUGACAGUGUAUCAUCAAGAGAAGAGGGUUGGACCUGACAGUGUAUCAUCAAGAGAAGAGGGUUGGACCUGACAGUGUAUCAUCAAGAGAAGAGGGUUGGACCUGACAGUGUAUCAUCAAGAGAAGAGGGUUGGACCUGACAGUGUAUCAUCAAGAGAAGAGGGUUGGACCUGACAGUGUAUCAUCAAGAGAAGAGGGUUGGACCUGACAGUGUAUCAUCAAGAGGGUAGGGCCAGACAGUGUAUCAUCAAGAGGGUAGGGCCAGACAGUGUAUCAUCAAGAGGGUAGGGCCUGACAGUGUAUCAUCAAGAGGGUAGGGCCUGACAGUGUAUCAUCAAGAGGGUAGGGCCUGACAGUGUAUCAUCAAGAGGGUAGGGCCUGACAGUGUAUCAUCAAGAGGGUAGGGCCUGACAGUGUAUCAUCAAGAGGGUAGGGCCUGACAGUGUAUCAUCAAGAGGGUAGGGCCUGACAGUGUAUCAUCAAGAGGGUAGGGCCUGACAGUGUAUCAUCAAGAGGGUAGGGCCUGACAGUGUAUCAUCAAGAGGGUAGGGCCUGACAGUGUAUCAUCAAGAGGGUAGGGCCUGACAGUGUAUCACCAAGAGGGUAGGGCCUGACAGUGUAUCAUCAAGAGGGUAGGGCCUGACAGUGUAUCAUCAAGAGGGUAGGGCCUGACAGUGUAUCAUCAAGAGGGUAGGGCCUG